AGUCGAACGGCAGCACGGGUGCUUGCACCUGGUGGCGAGUGGCGAACGGGUGAGUAAUACAUCGGAACAUGUCCUGUAGUGGGGGAUAGCCCGGCGAAAGCCGGAUUAAUACCGCAUACGAUCCACGGAUGAAAGCGGGGGACCUUCGGGCCUCGCGCUAUAGGGUUGGCCGAUGGCUGAUUAGCUAGUUGGUGGGGUAAAGGCCUACCAAGGCGACGAUCAGUAGCUGGUCUGAGAGGACGACCAGCCACACUGGGACUGAGACACGGCCCAGACUCCUACGGGAGGCAGCAGUGGGGAAUUUUGGACAAUGGGCGAAAGCCUGAUCCAGCAAUGCCGCGUGUGUGAAGAAGGCCUUCGGGUUGUAAAGCACUUUUGUCCGGAAAGAAAUCCCUGGCUCUAAUACAGCCGGGGGAUGACGGUACCGGAAGAAUAAGCACCGGCUAACUACGUGCCAGCAGCCGCGGUAAUACGUAGGGUGCAAGCGUUAAUCGGAAUUACUGGGCGUAAAGCGUGCGCAGGCGGUUUGCUAAGACCGAUGUGAAAUCCCCGGGCUCAACCUGGGAACUGCAUUGGUGACUGGCAGGCUAGAGUAUGGCAGA
rnacentral:rRNA from 1 species